rnacentral:rRNA from 1 species
CAAUAGCGUAUAUUAAAGUUGUUGCAGUUAAAAAGCUCGUAGUUGGAUUUCUGAUCGAGACAUCAGGUCGGGUCCGAGAGGAUCAUGUACUUUGAUUUUGUUUUGAUCAUCCUUGGGGAGUGCAUUUCUGGCAUUCAGUUGUCGGGAUUGGGAUCCUCAUCGUUUACUGUGAAAAAAUUAGAGUGUUCAAAGCAGGCCUCGGCCUCUGAAUACAUUAGCAUGGAAUAAUAAGAUAGGACUUUGGUGGUCUAUUUUGUUGGUUUGCACGCCAAAGUAAUGAUUAAUAGGGAUAGUUGGGGGUAUUCGUAUUCAAUUGUCAGAGGUGAAAUUCUUGGAUUUAUGGAAGACGAACUACUGCGAAAGCAUUUACCAAGGAUGUUUUCAUUAA